rfam:Capsicum annuum cultivar Zunla-1 chromosome 3, whole genome shotgun sequence
AGAUCGAAUGAUUUGUGCAUUGGGCUAACUUUCCAUUAAACCUUUCCCAAGCUUCAAAUAAUGGCUCUCCAUUUAUUUAUAAAAAAUUUACAAUCUCUUCCCGAAUUU